CUUUUCUUUUAAGUACGUCUUUAUUUUUUGGAUGGACCAUAGGGAUAGGUCCUGCGCAAUGGAGUCCUGUGAACCUUGUCAGGUCCGGAAGGAAGCAGCAAUAAGCAGAUCGCUUCGUGUGCCGCAGGAGUGCCUGUUCCUGUGGCCCAUCGAGAAAAUAAGGACAGGAAAG
rnacentral:SRP_RNA from 1 species